rnacentral:tRNA from 1 species
AAAAUGUGUAGAUCGAAUAUAAGCUGCUAACUUAAUAUUCAAGUGGUUAAAAUCCAUUUACAUUUUAUACA